GAGGAAUAUUGGUCAAUGGGUGCAAGCCUGAACCAGCCAUCCCGCGUGAAGGACGACUGCCCUAUGGGUUGUAAACUUCUUUUGUAUAGGGAUAAACCUUUCCACGUGUGGAAAGCUGAAGGUACUAUACGAAUAAGCACCGGCUAACUCCGUGCCAGCAGCCGCGGUAAUACGGAGGGUGCAAGCGUUAUCCGGAUUUAUUGGGUUUAAAGGGUCCGUAGGCGGACUUAUAAGUCAGUGGUGAAAGCCUGUCGCUUAACGAUAGAACUGCCAUUGAUACUGUAAGUCUUGAGUAUAUUUGAGGUAGCUGGAAUAAGUAGUGUAGCGGUGAAAUGCAUAGAUAUUACUUAGAACACCAAUUGCGAAGGCAGGUUACCAAGAUAUAACUGACGCUGAGGGACGAAAGCGUGGGGAGCGAAC
rnacentral:rRNA from 1 species